rnacentral:rRNA from 2 species
GGUUGACCUCGGAUCAGGUAGGGAUACCCGCUGAACUUAAGCAUAUCAAUAAGCGGAGGAAAAGAAACCAACUGGGAUUGCCUUAGUAACGGCGAGUGAAGCGGCAAUAGCUCAAAUUUGAAAGCUGGCCCCUUUGGGGUCCGCGUUGUAAUUUGUAGAGGAUGAUUCGGCGAGGGCUCCCGUCUAAGUCCCCUGGAACGGGGCGUCAUAGAGGGUGAGAAUCCCGUAUGUGAUGGGUUGCCUUAGCCAUGUGAAUCUCCUUCGACGAGUCGAGUUGUUUGGGAAUGCAGCUCUAAAUGGGAGGUAAAUUUCUUCUAAAGCUAAAUACCGGCCAGAGACCGAUAGCGCACAAGUAGAGUGAUCGAAAGAUGAAAAGCACUUUGGAAAGAGAGUUAAAAAGUACGUGAAAUUGUUGAAAGGGAAGCGCUUGCAGCCAGACUUGUCCGCAGUUGCUCAGCCGGUCUCCUGACCGGCGUACUCUUCUGCGGCCAGGCCAGCAUCAGUUCGGGCGGUCGGAUAAAGACCUCGGGAAUGUAGCUCCUCUCGGGGAGUGUUAUAGCCCGGGGUGGAAUGCGGCCAGCCUGGACUGAGGAUCUCGCUUCGGCUAGGAUGCUGGCGUAAUGGCUGUAAGCGGCCCGUCUUGAAACACGGACCAAGGAGUCUAACAUCUAUGCGAGUGUUUGGGUGUCAAACCCAUACGCGUAAUGAAAGUGAACGGAGGUGGGAACCCUCACGGGUGCACCAUCGACCGAUCCUGAUGUCUUCGGAUGGAUUUGAGUAUGAGCAUAGCUGUUGGGACCCGAAAGAUGGUGAACUAUGCCUGAAUAGGGUGAAGCCAGAGGAAACUCUGGUGGAGGCUCGCAGCGGUUCUGACGUGCAAAUCGAUCGUCAAAUUUGGGUAUAGGGGCGAAAGACUAAUCGAACCAUCUAGUAGCUGGUUCCUGCCGAAGUUUCCCUCAGGA